UCUAGAACUCAAGAUAUGGGCUGAACACUGAACAAUGUCUAGGUUGUAGGAUAGAUUCAGACGUCUCUUUUGAUGCUAAGAUUUGAACUUGAAAACAAAAGAUUUGAAUCUUGGACUCUUCAUGAAAGUUUUAGGCCUAUGUCUUAACUUUCCAUC
rfam:Populus trichocarpa scaffold_10_contig_84, whole genome shotgun sequence.